rnacentral:rRNA from 1 species
AUGGGAUUAGCUAGUAGGUGGGGUAACGGCUCACCUAGGCGACGAUCCCUAGCUGGUCUGAGAGGAUGACCAGCCACACUGGAACUGAGACACGGUCCAGACUCCUACGGGAGGCAGCAGUGGGGAAUAUUGCACAAUGGGCGCAAGCCUGAUGCAGCCAUGCCGCGUGUAUGAAGAAGGCCUUCGGGUUGUAAAGUACUUUCAGCGGGGAGGAAGGGAGUAAAGUUAAUACCUUUGCUCAUUGACGUUACCCGCAGAAGAAGCACCGGCUAACUCCGUGCCAGCAGCCGCGGUAAUACGGAGGGUGCAAGCGUUAAUCGGAAUUACUGGGCGUAAAGCGCACGCAGGCGGUUUGUUAAGUCAGAUGUGAAAUCCCCGGGCUCAACCUGGGAACUGCAUCUGAUACUGGCAAGCUUGAGUCUCGUAGAGGGGGGUAGAAUUCCAGGUGUAGCGGUGAAAUGCGUAGAGAUCUGGAGGAAUACCGGUGGCGAAGGCGGCCCCCUGGACGAAGACUGACGCUCAGGUGCGAAAGCGUGGGGAGCAAACGGGAUUAGAUACCCUGGUAGUCCACGCCGUAAACGAUGUCGACUUGGAGGUUGUGCCCUUGAGGCGUGGCUUCCGGAGCUAACGCGUUAAGUCGACCGCCUGGGGAGUACGGCCGCAAGGUUAAAACUCAAAUGGAUUGACGGGGGCCCGCACAAGCGGUGGAGCAUGUGGUUUAAUUCGAUGCAACGCGAAGAACCUUACCUGGUCUUGACAUCCACGGAAGUUUUCAGAGAUGAGAAUGUGCCUUCGGGAACCGUGAGACAGGUGCUGCAUGGCUGUCGUCAGCUCGUGUUGUGAAAUGUUGGGUUAAGUCCCGCAACGAGCGCAACCCUUAUCCUUUGUUGCCAGCGGUCCGGCCGGGAACUCAAAGGAGACUGCCAGUGAUAAACUGGAGGAAGGUGGGGAUGACGUCAAGUCAUCAUGGCCCUUACGACCAGGGCUACACACGUGCUACAAUGGCGCAUACAAAGAGAAGCGACCUCGCGAGAGCAAGCGGACCUCAUAAAGUGCGUCGUAGUCCGGAUUGGAGUCUGCAACUCGACUCCAUGAAGUCGGAAUCGCUAGUAAUCGUGGAUCAGAAUGCCACGGUGGAUACGUUCCCGGGCCUUGUACACACCGCCCGUCACACCAUGGGAGUGGGUUGCAAAAGAAGUAGGUAGCUUAACCUUCGGGAGGGCGCUUACCACUUUGUGAUUCAUGACUGGGGUGAAGUCGUAACAAGGUA